CCGCCCCCGCUGCGCAGGUGGCCGCUGAGCCCCACGCCGCGCCGGCCGGGGCGGACCUUGCGCCAGGGCGCUGCCCGCAGGGCUCCGGGGCCUGGAGGGAUGACAGGGCCAGCCCCGGGGUGUGCAAGGGAGGCACGCGCGCCUCUCCCGACUGCGGGAGACAGGAGAGGACUGGUCGCUGGAGUCCGUGACCCUCUGUCUUCUCCCAGGGCCACAGAGGUGGUGGAUGCUGUCAACCCUGGGUUUCUUCCUUGGUCCCAGAUGCUACCUGUGUGACAACAGAUGAAAACCCACAUGGCGGAGCUCUGGGGGGCACUUAGGAGUGCACAGUGCCGCCUGACGUUCCUCGUGAUUCAAACAUUAGCUGCUGUUGAUACGACUUCAGCACAGUGUAAGUUUCACAUCUCCACAGAGAAUGGUGCCAACCCCAAGAUCCACACCACUUGAGAGAGAAGAGCCUUUACCCUGAAGCUAUCACCCUGCAGUGAGGAAG